GUGUAAAUUGUAAGCAAUCACAGGUGCCUCAUGUUGACCCGUGAACAAAAUGGGCACAUCCAUGCGAUGCACUGCUGUCCUGUGAGAUGCUUCAGAGGCCACACAGGACCUGUCAGAACAGCAGGCUCAAUGGCAUGGAACUCCACAGUGAAACAAAGACUGCAGCUCCAAGUCACAAACCAGAGAGGGGUCACACCUCUUAAAACAUUUCCAAUACAUCAACAUGGAUCAUCUUCUCCAAACACUGGUGCCUAUAGCAACAGCAUGCUUCAGGGGAGGUCCCUUAGAGAUUCAAGAAACCUCUCUGAAAAAAACACCAGGAGAUCAUUCACAGCCAAAAAAGCUCUGCUCAUAGGUAACUAUUUGUCAAUGCUUCUCUAAAAUGUGAGCAAAAGGUUAAGCAAAGGAUUAAAGAUAUAUUUAAACACUACCUUACAUAGGGUUUUUGCAAAGAACAGAUACUGUGUAUUAUAUUAUUUUAUAAUAUCUUAUAUUAAAUAUAACCAGAAGUAUCUCUUUAUAAUGUGUUCAAAACGCAUGGGAUGCAUUCACUGUGAUAAAAAGAACUGAGGAGAGAGAGCGAGCAAGAAGCAGUACACACAGACAGAGAGUCCCGCUGGAUUCAAGCCACCGGCCUUCCACUGUCCCACUGGAUAGUCAGACGGGACGCCGAGCACUAAGCACACCAGAAACUCCCAUGUGCAAGAUUAUCUGGAGAAGAAAAGAUGAACAACCUCAACAUUUUAAUGAAGGGGAUAGUCCCAAUCUAACCCCAUUACUACAUCUCUACCUGCCUUCAUCAUAUCAGCCGCAGGAGCAGGGAGAAGAUACAGCACCGGGACAGGAAAAUAGCUCAGAGGUAAAUGAGAAGCAAGACGUCACAGAGGAACUCAGAGAGCAUGACAUCACCAUGGAGAGCCAAAAACAAGACAUCACCGUCAGUAAAACAGAAGAUGAAGGACAGAAUGAUUUCACAGAUGGCAUACGAUAUGAUAUUACAGAUACCUGGCAGAAUGACAUACAGAAAGAUACUCCUGAGGAAACUUUUGAGGCUGACACAACUGAGGAAAACCGUCCACAAGACAUCACAGAUGACAACAGACAACACGAAAUCUUGGAAAAUCAAUGUGAUAUUGACAAAUCUUUUAAUAUCAUAGAAAACAAACAAGCAUAUGACAUUACAGAGAAGACUGAAGGAACAAAUGGCAUAUAUAUGAGAACCAGAUCAAACAGAAGUUCACACAAAGCAUCUGAUGCCAGACUCAUAGUCAAAACACGUUAUCUGGCCACAGCUACAGCGCUAACGUUCCCGUCUACCACGACCCACAGAAAUCCCUCUCCCACUCUUAGCGUCCUGCCAUCGUUUUAUGGAACUUCAUUUGGCUAUCGCAUCAGAACAACGUCUGAGCCCUGUCGAUCCAAAACAAGGACCAGAAAAGACUGUGAUGAUGACAACAGAUUUACACAGCCCAUGAAUGACUUGCGACAUUCCAUAGAAAUAAAAGGAAACCCCUGCUUACUACAAACAAGGGCUGGAGUGCCAGUCAGCCCCCACCCCAAAAUAAUGAGCAGUGAGAGGGGGUCCCAGCCUCGUAAAAUGAAAACCACCAACAUGUUUUUGUGGGGACCAGAGGGGCCCCGAGAGACUAAGACAGUGUGUGAGCUAUACAGUCCUGUGAACAGGUGGAGAAGCCAGGAUCAGGUCUGA
ensembl:lncRNA